GGAGGCAGCAGUGAGGAAUCUUGCGCAAUGGGCGAAAGCCUGACGCAGCCACGCCGCGUGCCGGAUGAAGGCCCUAUGGGUUGUAAACGGCUUUUAAGCAGGAAGAACGACCGGAUUUCGAUCUGGUGUGACGGUACUGCUUGAAUAAGCACCGGCUAACUCCGUGCCAGCAGCCGCGGUAAUACGGAGGGUGCAAGCGUUGUCCGGAAUCAUUGGGUGUAAAGGGUGCGUAGGCAGGCGUCUAAGUCUGGGGUGAAAUCUUGCCGCUUAACGGUAAAAUGGCCUUGGAUACUGGGCGUCUUGAGUGUAGAAGAGGUAAGUGGAAUUCGUAGUGUAGCGGUGAAAUGCAUAGAUAUUACGAAGAACAUCAGUGGCGAAGGCGGCUUACUGGUCUACAACUGACGCUGAGGCACGAAAGCGUGGGGAGCGAACAGGAUUAGAUACCCUGGUAGUCCACGCUGUAAACGAUGCAUACUAGGUGUUGGCCUUUCGGGGCCAGUGCUGCAGUUAACGCAUUAAGUAUGCCACCUGGGGAGUACGUCGGCAACGAUGAAACUCAAAUGAAUUGACGG
rnacentral:rRNA from 1 species